rnacentral:tRNA from 1 species
GGAGAGUUGUCCGAGCGGCCGAAGGACCUGGUCUUGAAAACCAGUGAGUAGCAAUACUCCGUGGGUUCGAAUCCCACACUCUCCGCUA